GAGACGACGAAAGAUCGAGAGAGAGAGAGAGAGUCGCGAAUCCCGCACUUUUCCACCGAUAUCGAGAGGUGAAAUCGAGAGUACGUAGAAACACGCGGCAUGGCACGAGGCCGCUCGAGGCGUUUUGAAUAGCGUGGAAGGCGCGAAUUCCGGUAGUGAACAGGUAUUGCGAACGAACCGUGUACGGGCUACUGUGUGUAUAUCGCGUAUCUCGCGCGUUCGAUCUUUCGCGAAUUAAUACGUUUCGAAAGGAACAAAUGUCGAAAUAGGCGAAUGAACGAUAUUAAACGGAAUCGAAUACGAUUUUCGAAAUUUAUAGUAGAGGCUUCGUAUCGAAAAAGAAUUGACGAAAAUAAGCGCGAGGGAGGAACGAGGAUGUUCGACCCGUUAUCGAUCGAGAACCAUUGUUACCAGGUGGAAGAGGAUGAAAUCCGCGACGAUGAAUAAACACCGCCGCUUUCGAAAGCUGUAUACCGAGGAUGUUGAAGAUUUCGUGGCACGAUAAAGGCUGGAACGAAUGGCGACCGUGAAGGAGAGAAAAGCGAUACGCGACUCUGGUGUAACUCAUAAUUGAAAGGAUUGAAAUACACAGAGAGAGAGAGAGAGUGGACCAACGCUCGACGGGACAUCGUGUGCAAAUGUUAUGAAAUCUGUGGAGGAAGGAUCUUGAUUGGUAGGAGAAUAUGUAAACAUAGGAGAGGAAUAUGUAGAAACAUGAAUUGAUAAAUAUUCGUUUGACAAUUACGUCGCUAUGAUCGAGAACACGCGUCUCCACUUAGGGAAAUAUCAUAGUCAUCGUCAUAGAUUUUUUUCGUCAUUCGAAUGACAUUCUCUUUUAAAUAUUACGAGAUUAAUUAUCUCGCGAUAAGAGAAUUCCGUGAAAUGUAACGAUGGUUAUUUCGAUAAAGAAACAAAAAGGAAGAAAGAAAAGGAAAAGAGGAAAGUCGAAUCAUUGGAUAAACGGAAUUUAAAUGUUGCAAUGUAGGUGGAUGAUUUUAGCUUAGAAUUAUUCGGAGUGCUGUCAUCGUAUUUACCUUUGAAAAGAAAUGAGUCAACGAUAAAGAAUCGCAACAUGAGCCGAUCUUAUGGGAAUUCUCUGAAUUCUCGAAACACCCUCGAGAUAAUAAAUACAAAGUUAAUUAUUUUCCUCCAUUUCUUUAUCAAAACUACGAAACUUUACAACGAUACAAAUUAAGAGAAAAGGACAAUUGGAACAACGAAAGCUGAACUUUUCGAACUGUGACAAUUUCUUCUUUUUACAUCAAAUUAAUUUCGCGACAAACGAUUCCUCGCAAAGUUGUGAAACGACAACAUCGCAUCCCAUUAAACUUUUAAACGAUUCUUCGUGACGUAGAUCGAUCCUCUACGAUGCAACACGAAAUUAUCCACGACUAUUUAAUAAAUACCAUUAUUUACGAGC